rnacentral:rRNA from 1 species
CCUACGGGAGGCUGCAGUGGGGAAUAUUGGGCAAUGGGCGCAAGCCUGACCCAGCAACGCCGCGUGAAGGAAGAAGGCUUUCGGGUUGUAAACUUCUUUUCUGAGGGACGAAGAAUGUGACGGUACCUCAGGAAUAAGCCACGGCUAACUACGUGCCAGCAGCCGCGGUAAUACGUAGGGGGCAACCGUUAUCCGGAUUUAUUGGGUGUAAAGGGCGUGUAGGCGGGAAAGCAAGUCAGAUGUGAAAACUCAGGGCUCAACCCUGAGCCUGCAUUUGAAACUGUUUUUCUUGAGUGCUUGAGAGGCAAUCGGAAUUCCAUGGGUAGCGGUGAAAUGCGUAGAUAUACGGCGGAACACCAGUGGCGAAGGCGGAUUGCUGGACAGUAACUGACGCUGAGGCGCGAAAGCGUGGGGAGCAAACAGGAUUAGAUACCCCGGUAGUC